GUAGGUGGCAAGCGUUGUCCGGAAUUAUUGGGCGUAAAGCGCGCGCAGGCGGGUUCUUUAAGUCUGAUGUGAAAGCCCACGGGCUCAACCGUGGAGGGUCAUUGGAAACUGGAGAACUUGAGUACAGAAGAGGAAAGCGGAAUUCCACGUGUAGCGGUGAAAUGCGUAGAGAUGUGGAGGAACACCAGUGGCGAAGGCGGCUUUCUGGUCUGUAACUGACGCUGAGGCGCGAAAGCGUGGGGAGCAAACAGGAUUAGAUACCCUGGUAGUCCACGCCGUAAACGAUAAGUGCUAAGUGUUAGGGGGUUUCCGCCCCUUAGUGCUGCAGCUAACGCAUUAAGCACUCCGCCUGGGGAGUACGGCCGCAAAGGCUG
rnacentral:rRNA from 1 species